rnacentral:rRNA from 1 species
GAUGAACGCUGGCGGCGUGCCUAAUACAUGCAAGUCGAGCGAACAGAUAAGGAGCUUGCUCCUUUGACGUUAGCGGCGGACGGGUGAGUAACACGUGGAUAACCUACCUAUAAGACUGGGAUAACUUCGGGAAACCGGAGCUAAUACCGGAUAAAAUAUUGAACCGCAUGGUUCAAUAGUGAAAGGCGGCUUUGCUGUCACUUAUAGAUGGAUCCGCGCCGUAUUAGCUAGUUGGUAAGGUAACGGCUUACCAAGGCAACGAUACGUAGCCGACCUGAGAGGGUGAUCGGCCACACUGGAACUGAGACACGGUCCAGACUCCUACGGGAGGCAGCAGUAGGGAAUCUUCCGCAAUGGGCGAAAGCCUGACGGAGCAACGCCGCGUGAGUGAUGAAGGUCUUCGGAUCGUAAAACUCUGUUAUCAGGGAAGAACAAAUGUGUAAGUAACUGUGCACAUCUUGACGGUACCUGAUCAGAAAGCCACGGCUAACUACGUG